rnacentral:misc_RNA from 1 species
AAGUCGUAACAAGGUUUCCGUAGGUGAACCUGCGGAAGGAUCAUUAACACGUUUUUAACGUCUCCAAACAACUUCGUGAACUGUACCCUCCCUCUUCAACCUGAUGCGUGCUUCAGCCAAAUCAGCCCUAUUUGUGGAUAAAACGAUCGGACGACAUAUACUAUUCAGUUAGUAUGGGUACUCCUCGGGGUAGCUGGCACUGGAAUGCCGUUGAGCAAUCACAUCGGGUCGUUGUAGGCUAUUUUUUACCUCUCCACUUCUAACCACUCUAAUCGCUCAUUGCUGGCCAAUGACGACUACUAUUUGACUAAAUGCUCAUCAGCACUUGACUGAAGUCUUCGGGCUUUAGACCUUGAACUGAUGAAUGAGUUAUGUAACUGCACAACUCUUAGCAACGGAUAUCUUGGUUCUC